CCACACACAGAGCAUGCCAUCCGAAUCCUCUCAUAAUUGGAUUUCUUGGGAGACGAAAUGGAUACAGCAAUAGCAUAUCUUGCAGAUCCAACCAUCACCAUCAACAAGAAGGUCUGUGACAGUGAUCCCCAACCAGUUGCUUGUGAGCAACAUGUUGCUCACCACCUCCUUUGAUGUUGUUUCCAGAGGCCUCAAAACCCCUUAAAAUAAGGGACUGCUGCCCAUGCCAGGGGAACAGUCGCAGUAAACUCAGCUUCCUGAAGAACAUUAUUAUAUCAGAACAGGCUAAAUGUCAAAUCAGAAGCAGAAGCCUCAUUUGAAACAGGAACUACACAGCCUGGCAGCACAUUGUAAAUAAAAUACU